AUGAAAAGAAAACUGCUUGUCAUUCACUCUUAAUCUAUUGGCUUUGGAUGGAGUUCACUGCAACCCUAGUUCCAUGGCCAGUUCCUGUAUUGUGAGCUGCCCUACAAAGAAAAACUCAUGGAAAGGAACCAAGAGAAGCCUCAGACCAACAACCCAUGAGGAAUUGAGACCCUUAGUCCAACAGCCCAUGAAGAACUGAAUCCUGCCAACAAGAUGAGUGAGCUUAGAAGCGAACCUGUCCCCAGGUAAGCCUUGAGAUGCCCAGAACCAGAGGAUACACCUAUGCUGUUCCCACAGUCUUGACCCAAUGACACUAUGAGAUAAUAAAUUUUUUUUUUUUUUGAGACGGAGUUUCGCUCUUGUUACCCAGGCUGGAGUGCAAUGGCGCACUCUCGGCUCACCGCAACCUCCGCCUCCUGGGUUCAGGCAAUUCUCCUGCUUCAGCCUCCUAAGUAGCUGGGAUUACAGGCACACACCACCAUGCCCAGCUAAUUUUUUGUAUUCUUAGUAGAGACGGGGUUUCACCAUGUUGACCAGCAUGGUCUCGAUCUCUUGACCUUGUGAUCCACCCCCUCAGCCUCCCAAAGUGCUGGGAUUAAAGGCUUGAGCCACAAUAAAUGUUUUAAGACCUUAAGUUUUAGAGAAAAUUUUUACACAGCAAUAGAUAACUAAUACAGUGUCCCAUCCAAAAGAUCAAUUUCAACCUCAGCCUUGCCCCUUUUUCUUUGGCCUCAAGGGAGUGAACAAAUCACAAACAUCACACAGACUUCUGAGAACUAAGACUUUAACUUGCUCUUUUAAAUCCUAGAUUCAGGUCUG
rnacentral:lncRNA from 1 species